rnacentral:ncRNA from 2 species
CUCAAGAGUAGAAGCGUUCAGCGGCCCAGCCGCCCGGAAAUUGCUCUUGAA